CUCACACACACACACACACACACACACACACACACACACACACACACACACACAUGGGCCGCUUUCCCAGUGGCUGCUCAUUGGUUCUGUGACAUCACAGAGGGGCGGGGCUUUGGAUGCCACUGGGACCACGCCCACACCAGAAGCCAAAGCUGUGAUGGCACACCUCUCUGACAAAGACGCGUGCCCUUCGCCAAGCCAAACCACCAAUCACAGAGAGAGAUGGAGAGAACAGCCCAUCAGAGAGCGAGGGGUGUGGAGAGAACAGCCAAUCAGAGGGGGAGAGAGGACAGAAACAGAUCUGGCAUAAGUGGGUGGCGAUUCAGUGAAAUGUGGUUCAGAUUGGUUUAGUUUCUGUUUUGGCGUGACGGGUAGAGGAUUGAGAUGAAAGAUUGGUUUAGUUUCUGUUUUGGCGUGACGGGUAGAGGAUUGAGAUGAAAGAUUGGUUUAGUUUCUGUUUUGGCGUGACGGGUAGAGGAUUGAGAUGAAAGAUUGGUUUAGUUUCUGUUUUGGCGUGACGGGUAGAGGAUUGAGAUGAAAGAUGGUUUAGUUUCUGUUUUGGCGUGACGGGUAGAGGAUUGAGAUGAAAGAUUGGUUUAGUUUCUGUUUUGGCGUGACGGGUAGAGGAUUGAGAUGAAAGAUUGGUUUAGUUUCUGUUUUGGCGUGACGGGUAGAGGAUUGAGAUGAAAGAUUGGUUUAGUUUCUGUUUUGGCGUGACGGGUAGAGGAUUGAGAUGAAAGAUGGUUUAGUUUCUGUUUUGGCGUGACGGGUAGAGGAUUGAGAUGAAAGAUUGGUUUAGUUUCUGUUUUGGCGUGACGGCUAGAGGAUUGAGAUGAAAGAUUGGUUUAGUUUCUGUUUUGGCGUGACGGCUAGAGGAUUGAGAUGAAAGAUGGAACCUGGUAAGUUGACGAACAGGUGGAGAAGGACAUGGAUUGAGAUGGAUCUGAAUGUGGAUGGGGUGAUGAAGAGAGAGAGAGGGAGGACUAGAGAGAGAGAGAGAGAGGGAGGAAGGGAGAGAGAAAAAGGGGAAUAGAAAGUUUGACCGUAAGAUGGAAAAAUACGUUUUUUUUUUAUGGGUUGUUUAUAUGCUGAAGGAGCUGAAGGUCUUUGGUGAAGGAGAACUCUUCCUCAAGACGGUGAGCUAGUGCUCUUCCUCAGUGGUGAGAACUAGUGCUCUUCCUCUUCCUCAGUGGCGAGAGCUAGUGCUCUUCCUCAGUGGCGAGAGCUAGUGGCGGUUUCACCGAUAUCUAGUCAGAUUUAGCAGUUAGAAUGCUUUUGAGUUAGUUUAACAGUUUUAAUUAGUUUUAAAAGAGUUGUAUUGAUUUGACUUUAUUAUUAUUAUUAUUAUUAUUAUUAUUAUUAUUAUUAUUUAUUCUAUUUUGGGACUGUUUCUGCUGCUGCUGCUGUUGAUGUUGCUAUAGAAACGCUGCUGUGUUACUGUUGCCACCCAAAGGUGAUGUCUUCUACAAACCAAAAUAUUCCACAAAGUCAACCCCCCCAGACAGCGGCCGAGUUCUGGUACGGGCCCGGCCAAGUUGGUUCUGGAAGGGGCCGCUCUCUGGGAUUCGUGAACCAAAUACAAGAACAAUGGAAGAAAAGUUGAG
ensembl:lncRNA